UACGGAGGUCCCAAGCGUUGUCCGGAAUUAUUGGGCGUAAAGAGCUCGUAGGCGGCUUGGCAAGUCGGAUGUGAAAUCUCCUGGCUCAACUGGGAGGGGCCAUUCGAUACUGCCAUGGCUUGAGUCCGGUAGAGGGGUGUGGAAUUCCCGGUGUAGCGGUGAAAUGCGCAGAUAUCGGGAGGAACACCAAUAGCGAAGGCAGCACCCUGGGCCGGUACUGACGCUGAGGAGCGAAAGCGUGGGGAGCAAACAGG
rnacentral:misc_RNA from 1 species